rnacentral:rRNA from 1 species
UACAGAGGUCUCAAGCGUUGUUCGGAAUCACUGGGCGUAAAGGGUGCGUAGGCCGCACGGUAAGUCAGAGGUGAAAUCCCGGAGCUCAACUCCGGAAUUGCCUCCGAUACUGCCGUGCUUGAGGACUGGAGAGGAGAUUGGAAUUCACAGUGGAGCAGUGAAAUGCGUAGAUAUUGUGAGGAACACUAGUGGCGAAGGCGAAUCUCUGGACAGUUCCUGACACUGAGACACGAAGGCCAGGGAGCAAACGGG